rnacentral:rRNA from 1 species
CAGCCGCCGCGGUAAAACAGAGGGUGCGAGCGUUAAUCGGAUUUACUGGGCGUAAAGCGUGCGUAGGCGGCUAAUUGAGUCGGAUGUGUAAUCCCCGAGCUUAACUUGGGAAUUGCAUUCGAUACUGGUUAGCUAGAGUGUGGGAGAGGAUGGUAGAAUUCCAGGUGUAGCGGUGAAAUGCGUAGAGAUCUGGAGGAAUACCGAUGGCGAAGGCAGCCAUCUGGCCUAACACUGACGCUGAGGUACGAAAGCAUGGGGAGCAAACAGGAUUAGAUACCCCCGUAGUCCCUGUCUCUUAUAA